AGGAAUUGGCGGGGGAGCACCACAAGGGGUGGGACCUGCGGUUCAAUUGGAUUCAACGCCGAGAAACUCACCAGGGGCGACAGUUGUUUGAAGGCCAGGUUGACGACCUUGCCGGACUAUCUGAGAGGUGGUGCAUGGCCGUCGUCAGCUCGUACCGUGAGGCGUCCUGUUAAGUCAGGCAACGAGCGAGACCCUCACCCUUAGUUGCCAUCGGUGGGAAGCCGGGCACUCUAAGGGGACCGCUGGCGCUAAGUCAGAGGAAGGAGAGGGCAACGAUAGGUCCGUAUGCCCCGAAUCCCCUGGGCUACACGCGGGUCACAAUGCGCAGGACAAUGGGAUGCAACCCCGUAAGGGGAAGCCAA
rnacentral:rRNA from 1 species